UGCAGUCGACGGUACAGGAAGAGCUUGCUGCUUUGCUGACGAGUGGCGGACGGGUGAGUAAUGUCUGGGAAACUGCCUGAUGGAGGGGGAUAACUACUGGAAACGGUAGCUAAUACCGCAUAACGUCGCAAGACCAAAGAGGGGGACCUUCGGGCCUCUUGCCAUCGGAUGUGCCCAGAUGGGAUUAGCUAGUAGGUGGGGUAACGGCUCACCUAGGCGACGAUCCCUAGCUGGUCUGAGAGGAUGACCAGCCACACUGGAACUGAGACACGGUCCAGACUCCUACGGGAGGCAGCAGUGGGGAAUAUUGCACAAUGGGCGCAAGCCUGAUGCAGCCAUGCCGCGUGUAUGAAGAAGGCCUUCGGGUUGUAAAGUACUUUCAGCGGGGAGGAAGGGAGUAAAGUUAAUACCUUUGCUCAUUGACGUUACCCGCAGAAGAAGCACCGGCUAACUCCGUGCCAGCAGCCGCGGUAAUACGGAGGGUGCAAGCGUUAAUCGGAAUUACUGGGCGUAAAGCGCACGCAGGCGGUUUGUUAAGUCAGAUGUGAAAUCCCCGGGCUCAACCUGGGAACUGCAUCUGAUACUGGCAAGCUUGAGUCUCGUAGAGGGGGGUAGAAUUCCAGGUGUAGCGU
rnacentral:rRNA from 1 species